CCUACGGGUGGCAGCAGUGGGGAAUAUUGCACAAUGGGGGAAACCCUGAUGCAGCGACGCCGCGUGAGUGAAGAAGUAUCUCGGUAUGUAAAGCUCUAUUAGCAGGGAAGAAAAUGACGGUACCCGAUUAAGAAGCCCCGGCUAACUACGUGCCAGCAGCCGCGGUAAUACGGAGGGGGCAAGCGUUAUCCGGAUUUACUGGGUGUAAAGGGAGCGUAGACGGCAGCACAAGUCUGGAGUGAAAUGCCGGGGCUUAACCCCGUAACUGCUGUGGAAACUGUGCAGCUAGAGUGCAGGAGAGGUAAGUGGAAUGCGUGGUGUAGCGGUGAAAUGCGUAGAUAUUAGGAAGAACACCAGUGGCGAAGGCAGCUUACUGGACUGUAACUGACGUUGAGGCUCGAAAGCGUGGGGAGCAAACAGGAUUAGAUACCCGGGUAGUC
rnacentral:rRNA from 1 species